GUGAACCUGCGGAGGGAUCAUUACCGAGUUUACAACUCCCAAACCCAAUGUGAACCAUACCAAACUGUUGCCUCGGCGGGGUCACGCCCCGGGUGCGUCGCAGCCCCGGAACCAGGCGCCCGCCGGAGGGACCAACCAAACUCUUUACUGUAGUCCCCUCGCGGACGUUAUUUCUUACAGCUCUGAGCAAAAAUUCAAAAUGAAUCAAAACUUUCAACAACGGAUCUCUUGGUUCUGGCAUCGAUGAAGAACGCAGCGAAAUGCGAUAAGUAAUGUGAAUUGCAGAAUUCAGUGAAUCAUCGAAUCUUUGAACGCACAUUGCGCCCGCCAGUAUUCUGGCGGGCAUGCCUGUCCGAGCGUCAUUUCAACCCUCGAACCCCUCCGGGGGGUCGGCGUUGGGGAUCGGGAACCCCUCAGACGGGAUCCCGGCCCCGAAAUACAGUGGCGGUCUCGCCGCAGCCUCUCCUGCGCAGUAGUUUGCACAACUCGCACCGGGAGCGCGGCGCGUCCACGUCCGUAAAACACCCAACUUCUGAAAUGUUGACCUCGGAUCAGGUAGGAAUACCCGCUGAACUUAAGCAUAUCAAUAAGGCGGAGG
rnacentral:rRNA from 1 species